UGAGGAAUAUUGCGCAAUGGGCGAAAGCCUGACGCAGCGACGCCGCGUGGAGGAUGAAGGUUUUCGGAUUGUAAACUCCUGUUAAGUGGGAAGAAACGACAAAAUAUAAUACAUUUUGUAACUGACGGUACCAUUAAAGAAAGCACCGGCUAACUUCGUGCCAGCAGCCGCGGUAAUACGAGGGGUGCAAGCGUUAUUCGGAAUUAUUGGGCGUAAAGGGUGCGUAGGCGGCGUAUUAAGUCAACUGUUAAAACCUCCAGCCUAACUGGAGAUCAGCAGUAGAUACUGGUAUGCUAGAGGAUGGAAGAGAGAAGUGGAAUUCUUGGAGUAGCGGUGGAAUGCGUAGAUCUCAAGGGGAACACCAAUGGCGAAGGCAGCUUCUUGGUCCAUAUCUGACGCUGAUGCACGAAAAGCGUGGGGGGCAAACAGGAUUAGAUACCCUGGUAGUCCACGGCCGUAAAACGAUGAUCACUAGAUGUUAAUUCUGCUUGCAGAAUUAGUGUCGUAGCUAACGCGAUAAGUGAUCCGCCUGGGGACUACGGUCGCAAGAUUAAAACUCAAA
rnacentral:rRNA from 1 species